AUGGCCAUGAUCUAAGCCCUGUUCCAAGGUCUGUUCAGAGGGGUUUUUGUCAAGCGGAAUGGCUGCUGGACGGUGGCCGGGGCCGUGUGGUCAAGUCCGGGGAAGUAUGGUAACCGAACGGCAAUCGGUUGGGGAAAACGCCAUUGCAGGAUCGCCAAACCCCGUAUAUUGCCGUUCCGGCGCCAGCCGCCGUUUUCGGUGACUUCGUCCAUGUGGCGAAGGGACAGGGAUGCGUGGUACGGACGGCACGAAUUUGCAUUUUUUCGCACCGCGAGGGGCUCGUAUCGUUUUGCGGUCGAGUUUAAUGGAACAAGCACGAGGUUAAACGAUGAGUGAGAUUGGCGAGCGGGUUAAGAAGAUCGUGGUCGAGCACCUUGGUGUCGAACCCGAAAAGGUUGUCGAUGCUGCAAGCUUCAU
rnacentral:misc_RNA from 1 species